AAGACGCUGGCGGCGUGCUUAACACAUGCAAGUCGAACGGGUUUAAUGGAUGUAGCAAUACAUUCAUUAAAUUAGUGGCGCACGGGUGAGUAACACGUAGGUAACCUACCCUUCAGUGGGGGACAACAGAGGGAAACUUCUGCUAAUACCGCAUACGAUCACGGACUGGGAUGUUCGUGGUGAAAGGAUUUAUUCGCUGAGGGAUGGGCCUGCGGCCUAUCAGGUAGUUGGUGAGGUAAUGGCUCACCAAGCCUGCGACGGGUAGCCGGACUGAGAGGUCGAUCGGCCACACUGGAACUGAGACACGGUCCAGACUCCUACGGGAGGCAGCAGUGGGGAAUAUUGCACAAUGGGGGAAACCCUGAUGCAGCGACGCCGCGUGGAGGAUGACGGCCUUCGGGUUGUAAACUCCUUUUGUCAGGGACAAUGGUGAUGGUACCUGACGAAUAAGCCACGGCUAACUCCUGUG
rnacentral:rRNA from 1 species